AAAAAAAAAAAAAAGACCCUGCGAUCCACGGCGCCUGCCCUCUUAGGUUAAGGUUUGAGGAACGUGAUGGGACGUAAGAAAGGGCUUUGGAUCCCGAUAGGCUCGGUGCCAACCUUAUGUUCUGCCAUUCGAGUUCUGGCAAUCUUUACAGCACCCUAAAGAGUAGAUGAAAGAAUCUGAGAUGCUGGAUCAGUGUUGAGCAGUGCUUGGGCCGCGAUUCUUCGGCAGCUUUAGCCGCCUUGAGCCAAGAAAGUCCGAGAGUAACCAAAGGUGUUUGCCAAGAGAAUGACACACGUUCCAAAACCGCUAUACGGUGUUUACGAAUGAGGAAAUGGAGGUUCACGAUAACUAAUUCGCCCAAGGUCCCACAGAGGGAAGUGCAAAAACCUGUGAUGGUGUACAGUGUGCCUUUGAGGAACUUGUUGAAAAGAUCAUUCAGACGCCUGGACUGUGGGAAAGUGAGAACCAGAAUAAAGGAGUCAAACUGACACACAGGGAAGAAGGCCCUGGAGGAAGAGCCUGUGGUGGUUACUGUUCUGUGUUAUAAACUCUGGGAAACUCCAUCUCUUGCAUAUUUGAUCACAUAGUGACAUCUUUCUGUAUAUUAACUUUUAACUGCUAUUUUAGGGACCUUGCAGAACAUUAAGAGGAUUAUACAUCAUGACCAAGUGGGAUUUAUCCCAGCAAUGCAAGUGGUUCAACAUGGGAAAAUCAGUCAAUGUAAUACACCACACUAAUAAAGCAAAGGAUAAAAAGCACAUGAUCAUCUCAAUAGAUGCAGAAAAGGCAUUUGACAAGAUCUAAUACCCAUUUAUGAUAAAAAAAAAAAACUCAAGAAACAAGGAAUAGAAAUGAACUUCCUCAAAAUGAUAGGGGCAUUUAUGAAAACUGCAGAGCUAACAUUAUACUCAAUAGUGAAAGACUAAAAGAGUUCCCUCUAAAGUCGGGAACAAGAUAAAGGUGCCCAUUUUCACCAAUGGCAUUCAACACUGAAGUAGAAGUGCUAGCCAGAGCAAUGAGAUAAGAAAUAGAAAUAAAAGGAAUUCAAACUGGAAAUGAAGAAGGUAACUAUUCCUUUUUACAUGAUCACAUGAUUCUAUAUCUGAAAAUUCCAAAUUAUCCACAAUAAAACUAAUAGAGUUAAUAAACAGAUUGAGCAAAGCUGCAAGAUACAAGAUGAACACACAAAAAUCAGUUGUGUUUCUAUUUGUGUGCAAUCAACAAUCCAAAAAUGAAAUGAAGAAAGCUAUUCCAUUUAAAUAGUGUCUAAAAUAAUAAAAUAUUUAGAAAUAAAUUUAAACAAGGAAGUGAAAGACUAAAAAUACAAAAAUUUGGUAAAAAGAAGACCUAAAUUAAUGGAAAGAAAUCCUUAGUUCAUGGGGAGGAGGACAGUAUUUUUAAAAUGUCAAUCACACCUAAAACACACCUAAAAACAUUUAGGUGUGAUUGACAUUUAUAGAUUCAACACAAUCUUACAAAAUUCCAAUUGGCCUUUUUCCUUAAGAAAUGGAAAACCCAACCCUCAAAUUCAUAUGGAAUUGCAAGGCUCCCUGGAUAAUCCAAACUAAUCAUGAAAAAGAAGAAAAGAACUGGAGGACUGUGAUUUCCACAACAAAGCUACAGCGGUCGAAACAGUGUGGUACUGGCAAAUCAACAGACUGGUAGGCUAAUGGAAUAGAAUUGAGAGUCCAGAAAUAAACCCAUACAUCUACAGCCAAUUGAUUUUUGACAAGGAUGCCAAAUCCAACCAACUUGGAAAGAACAGUCUCUUCAACACAUGGUACUUGGACAACUGGAUUUUCAUAUGUGCAAGAAUGAAUUCCAUAUGUGAGCAGAAUGACCUCACACCAUAUACAAAAAUGAACUAAAAGCUGCUCAACAACUAAAAUCUAAGAGCUAAAACCAUGAAACUCUUAGAAGGAAACACAGGGAAAAUGUGCAUGACCUUGGACUUGUCAAUGCAUUCAUAGAUGUAACACCAAAAGCAUAAGUAGCAGAAAGAAAAUGAUAAAAGAUAAAUUGGAUUUCAUCAAAAUUAAAAACUCCUGUGCAUUAAAGCCAUUAUCAAAAAAGUGAAGAGACAGUACAUGGAAGUGAGAGGAAAUAUUUACAAAUCAUGUAUCUUUUUUUUUUUUUUUUGAGAAAGAGAUAGCAAGAGCGUGAGCAGGGGAGAGGGGCAGAGGGGGGGUCG